UUGUUUGAGUCAAAUUAAGAAUACAUUCUUUACACCCCUUUGCAAAAAUGCAAAAUGCUCUAUUCCUUUAUGACACAGACGUCAUAACGUCAUCAAAGCUAACCUUUAUGCAUUCACACGCAGCGCCAACAUAUGGGAACCAGGAUGAGAUCGGGAAAGAAAGCAUUCCUCCGUUCCCUGAUUACGAGCUGUGUGUCUCGUCUCCCCAUAUCCCCUCUGGUUCCCUGGCUGCCCCUUUUGGAUCUCGACCUCCCGCCUGGACACUGACCUUUGACGCCUCGCUCUUGCCCCUGACCUCCUGCCUGUCCCUGGAUCUCCGAGUUUGCCUUGCCCUCUUGGACUUCCGCACCUGGCUCAACACUUCCGCUUGAUUGGGCGUUAGCAUGUUGGCCGCACAUCAGAAGAUGGAGGGGUCAAACAUCUGUAGGGACGUGGAGAUUGCCUGUUCACCCUGUG